rnacentral:rRNA from 1 species
AUUGAACGCUGGCGGAAUGCUUUACACAUGCAAGUCGAACGGCAGCACGGACUUCGGUCUGGUGGCGAGUGGCGAACGGGUGAGUAAUGUAUCGGAACGUGCCCAGUCGUGGGGGAUAACGUAGUGAAAAUUACGCUAAUACCGCAUACGAUCUAUGGAUGAAAGCGGGGGAUCGCAAGACCUCGCGCGAUUGGAGCGGCCGAUAUCAGAUUAGGUAGUUGGUGGGGUAAAGGCCCACCAAGCCAACGAUCUGUAGCUGGUCUGAGAGGACGACCAGCCACACUGAAACUGAGACACGGUCCAGACUCCUACGGGAGGCAGCAGUGGGGAAUUUUGGACAAUGGGCGAAAGCCUGAUCCAGCCAUUCCGCGUGCAGGAUGAAGGCCCUCGGGUUGUAAACUGCUUUUGUACAGAACGAAAAGGUUUCUACUAAUACUAGGAGCUCAUGACGGUGCUGUAAGAAUAAGCACCGGCUAACUACGUGCCAGCAGCCGCCGUAA